rnacentral:lncRNA from 15 species
AUGCUGUACAGUGAGAAAUACUUCAUUCAUUUAAUUACUAUUGGUGGUUUCAUUCAUGGCCAUAGCGGACUGGGAUUUCAUGACUCAAUAUAGUAAUAGCCCCUAUUUUCAUACAGGCUAGGUUUCGAGUCCCUGGAGAUAACCCUUGGAUUUGGAUUUUGGAUUCUCCUUGACGAAGGAGAUGGCGAGCCAGUACUGAACCAGAUCCCCUCCUUAUUCCAAGGAGUUGGAAAAGGGCCACCUUUUGCCCAGAGCAGGAGACAGCCCGGCCUUCACUCCCUAUCCCUUGAGUAUACCUCAGCGUGAUCUGCUUCCCCACUGUUGGCCAAUGUGCUGUGGCACAGUGUAAGGGUACACCUGCUGCAAAGAAACAAACACCAAGAUGUUAAGCUGUGCUUUGCAUUGCUGCGGCAGGAAUUUGCAAAAAAAGGAAGAUGACACGAAGAUGAAGAGAGACAGGAAGAGACAAAGACCGACAGGGUAUCUGGUGGAAAACAUGAGGAGGGAAAUCUGCAUUCUAGUCCCCCUGCUGCUCCUCCUUCCUCCUGUGUGUGGGCAGGUUUCACGCCUUAGACCUACUUUUGAACAUCACCAAAUGAUAGUGACCUGGACACAGGCACAGUCGUACUGCAGGGAGCAUCACACAGACCUGGUCACCAUCAGAAGGGAAACAGAGAAUCAGUACGUCCGUGGCUGGAUCGGUUUACACCGAGAGAAUACAAGCUCUGACUGGAAAUGGUCCAGACGAGAUGAGAUAGCCACCUACUUCCGCUGGGCAGCAUGUAAGCAGAGCUAUAAUGUAACAGAGUAGAGAAGAUCAAUGCUCUCAGACUUAUGGUACAGUAACUUAAAGAUGAUUUUGUUCCUUCACCUGAUUAAUUUGAUCAUACAAUGUUAAUAUGUGUGCCGUUUUUCUUUUC